GAGGCUUUAGCUUAAUUAAAGUGUCUGAUUUGCAGUCAGAGGAUGUGAGUUAGUUUCUUGCAGGUCUU
rnacentral:tRNA from 1 species